rnacentral:tRNA from 1 species
GCAUUGAUAGCUCAGGGGUAGAAUUCUUGCCUUUCACGUGGGAGACCUGGGUUCAAUUCCCAGCCAAUGCA